UCAGGACGAACGCUGGCGGCGUGCUUAACACAUGCAAGUCGAGCGGAAAGGCCCUUCGGGGUACUCGAGCGGCGAACGGGUGAGUAACACGUGAGCAACCUGCCCUAGGCUUUGGGAUAACCCCGGGAAACCGGGGCUAAUACCGAAUAUGACUUCUGGUCGCAUGACCGGUGGUGGAAAGUUUUUCGGCCUGGGAUGGGCUCGCGGCCUAUCAGCUUGUUGGUGGGGUGAUGGCCUACCAAGGCGACGACGGGUAGCCGGCCUGAGAGGGCGACCGGCCACACUGGGACUGAGACACGGCCCAGACUCCUACGGGAGGCAGCAGUGGGGAAUAUUGCACAAUGGGCGGAAGCCUGAUGCAGCGACGCCGCGUGAGGGAUGACGGCCUUCGGGUUGUAAACCUCUUUCAGCAGGGACGAAGCGUAAGUGACGGUACCUGCAGAAGAAGCGCCGGCCAACUACGUGCCAGCAGCCGCGGUAAGACGUAGGGCGCGAGCGUUGUCCGGAUUUAUUGGGCGUAAAGAGCUCGUAGGCGGCUUGUCGCGUCGACUGUGAAAACCCGCAGCUCAACUGCGGGCCUGCAGUCGAUACGGGCAGGCUAGAGUUCGGUAGGGGAGACUGGAAUUCCUGGUGUAGCGGUGAAAUGCGCAGAUAUCAGGAGGAACACCGGUGGCGAAGGCGGGUCUCUGGGCCGAUACUGACG
rnacentral:rRNA from 1 species